rnacentral:rRNA from 1 species
GUGCGCAGGCGGUUAUGUAAGUCAGAUGUGAAAUCCCCGGGCUUAACCUGGGAAUGGCAUUUGAGACUGCAUGGCUAGAGUGUGUCAGAGGGGGGUAGAAUUCCACGUGUAGCAGUGAAAUGCGUAGAGAUGUGGAGGAAUACCGAUGGCGAAGGCAGCCCCCUGGGAUAACACUGACGCUCACGCACGAAAGCGUGGGGAGCAAACAGGAUUAGAUACCCUGGUAGUCCACGCCCUAAACGAUGUCUACUAGUUGUCGGGACUUAAUUGUCUUGGUAACGCAGCUAACGCGUGAAGUAGACCGCCUGGGGAGUACGGUCGCAAGAUUAAA